UCGCACCUGCCGAUUGAAUGGUCCGGUGAAGCCUCGGGAUUGUGACUGGUUCCCUUCAUUGGGGAUUGGUCGCGAGAACUUGUCUAAACCUUGUCAUUUAGAGGAAGGUG
rnacentral:rRNA from 1 species